CGAGCACGCGCGUGUGGCAUAUCAAUAAGCGGAGGAAAAGAAACUAACAAGGAUUCCCUUAGUAACGGCGAGUGAAGCGGGAAGAGCUCAAAUUUGAAAUCUUCAAGGUUCUACCUUGACGAAUUGUAGUUUAUAGAAGUGUUUUCUGUUAGUGGAGUGGCAAAAGUUCUUUGGAAUAGGACAUCAUAGAGGGUGAGAAUCCUGUAUUUGGUCAUUCCUCCUAGCGUUGUGAUACACUUUCAACGAGUCGGAUUGUUUGGGAAUGCAGUCCAAAAUGGGUGGUAAAUUUCAUCUAAAGCUAAAUAUUGGCGAGAGACCGAUAGCGAACAAGUACCGUGAGGGAAAGAUGAAAAGAACUUUGAAAAGAGAGUUAAGCAGUACGUGAAAUUGUCAAAAGGGAAGCGUUUGACACCAGUGUUGUUUUUCUCGAAAAUCAAUUAAGAAUGGCUAUGAUUUUGGGUUGUAUUGACUUUAUCAGGCUUUCAGCUACUUUUUUCUUGUAACUUUUUUAAUGCACUUUUCGGUUAACAAGUCAACAUCAAUUUCUUUUGUUGUAAAAGGGUCAUUGAGGAAGGUGGCUUUCUUUUCGGAGAAAGUGUUUAUAGCCUUUGGCUUCUGCAAUCGGAGAGAUUGAGGUCUGCAGCGUAGAUCCUUCGGGGUUAGAUACAGUUUGUGCUAAGUUAUAGCCUUUUCAUAGACAACUUGUUGACUAUGAUUCAGUCUAUGUAGCUUACUCGCUGAUGCUAUUUUACCUACGCUUAGGAUGUUGAUGUGAUACUGCGAGCA
rnacentral:rRNA from 1 species